rnacentral:rRNA from 1 species
GACGAACGCUGGCGGCGUGCCUAAUACAUGCAAGUAGAACGCUGAAGGAGGAGCUUGCUUCUCCGGAUGAGUUGCGAACGGGUGAGUAACGCGUAGGUAACCUGCCCUGGAGCGGGGGAUAACUAUUGGAAACGAUAGCUAAUACCGCAUAACAGUAGAUGUUGCAUGACAUUGGCUUAAAAGGUUCAAUUGCAUCACUACCAGAUGCACCUGCGUUGUAUUAGCUAGUUGGUGAGGUAAAGGCUGACCAAGGCGACGAUACAGAGCCGACCGGUGAGGGGGAUCGGCCACACUGGGACUGAGACCCGGCCCAGACUCCUACGGGAGGCGGCAGUAGGGAUACUUCGGCAAUGGGCGGAAAUCUGACCGAGCAACGCCGAGGGAGUGAAGAAGGUUUUCGGAUCGUAAAGCUCGGUUGUAAGAGAAGAACGAGUGUGAGAGUGGAAAGUUCACACUGUGACGGUAUCUUACCAGAAAGGGACGGCUAACUACGUG